rnacentral:rRNA from 1 species
GUACCCGGCCUUAAAGAUGGGGACGUUUCGACGGACGCUAAUACCGCAUACGUCCUACGGGAGAAAGCAGGGGACCUUCGCUCUGACUAGCUAUCAGAUGAGCCUAGGUCGGAUUAGCUAGUUGGUGCGGUUAAUGGCUCACCAAGGCGACGAUCCGUAACUGGUCUGAGAGGAUGAUCAGUCACACUGGAACUGAGACACGGUCCAGACUCCUACGGGAGGCAGCAGUGGGGAAUAUUGGACAAUGGGCGAAAGCCUGAUCCAGCCAUGCCGCGUGUGUGAAGAAGGUCUUCGGAUUGUAAAGCACUUUAAGUUGGGAGGAAGGGCAGUAAGUUAAUACCUUGCUGUUUUGACGUUACCGACAGAAUAAGCACCGGCUAACUCUGUGCCAGCAGCCGCGGUAAUACAGAGGGUGCAAGCGUUAAUCGGAAUUACUGGGCGUAAAGCGUGUGUAUGUGGUUCGUUAAGUUGGAUGUGAAAGCCCCGGGCUCAACCUGGGAACUGCAUCCAAAACUGGCGAGCUAGAGUACGGUAGAGGGUGGUGGAAUUUCCUGUGUAGCGGUGAAAUGCGUAGAUAUAGGAAGGAACACCAGUGA